rnacentral:lncRNA from 1 species
UUUCUUUCUUUUUUUGAAACUUCUUUGUUUUCUUUUAAUUUCAAAAGGCAAAACAGUUUUAUAAAACAUAGAGCUUGAACCUAAAUUAUUAUUAUAAUUUAGACUACUGCCACAAUUAGUUUGGUAGUUAAAUAAAUUAGCUUAGCAUUUUUAUAAAACAAAAGGCAUUUAAGCAACGUUUUAACCAUUGUUUUAAUUAGUUUAGGGCAUUUAAAUACUUUGCAAAAAUGUUGGUUCGCCACCAAUAUUGCCAAAAGGAUAUUUGCCACAUGAUGAGCAUUUUAGUUUUCAUGUUUGAGCAAUUUAGAAUUUUGACUUUAAUUUGAAAUUGAGAUUUGGACUGGAAUAGAAUCAAAGUGAGAUUAGCAACAGUAACAAUGAUGACAAGGCAACAUUUAAAGGGGAUUAUUGUAGCAUGAUUCUCGGGGUGUUACAAAUCUCCUCCACUACAAGAAAUCUCAUCCCGAGAUUUAAGAGGUGGAGUAAUGGGGAAGACUCGGGAUGGAUGGAGUUCAAAACAAGAUAGGUACCUGGGGGCUAUCUCGGUGAACGUGGCAUAGAGGCAUCUCUCGAGUUGAAAUUCAAGAAAGUCAUCGAGAGCAAGGUAAGAAGGAGCAAUAAGAAGCUUCAACCGGGUAGGCAAUCGUUCGUUACCUGAAACAGAGGGUGAAAGGGGUUCAGAGCAAUGGGAAUAAGUAUUGCGUAUGAUACCAGAAUAGAUCACUACGUGGGUAAGCCAAGCGCGAGGGACAAUUUCGGAAAACAGGGACAUACAGGAGAGUCAGGUUUCGAUCCUGUGGAACUGUGGGUUAUGGGCCCACCAUGUGGUUCAAAAGUAGGAAGGACGCCGACAUAUUGCACGGUCAUGGUAGCAAGGCAUGUCAGAGGGUAGCCUGUCGAUUAUGUCGGCAACACCGUCGGUACCAAGGGCGAGGGACGAAGAGAACCAUUUUCCUGCUCGUUGAAACGAGGCGGACCAGUAGGCAAAGUUCUCGUCCAUCGGCGGUUACCGAAAUGUCAUCAACAAAAGUAACGGGGUCUUACUGACAGGGUUGUACACCGAGGUGUUCACAUAAGCAGGGAAUUAAUACUGCUUAGAUCAAAGUGAUCACCAGAAAGGUUAAAGAAAACAAUGGAAAGGAAAAGGUGUUUAUCAGAUUAACAGAACAAUGGAAAGGAAAAUGUGUUUAAACACAUAUUUCAGGGGUAUAUCCUUCCCAAGGGUAAGCAGAGCAUGAUAUCCAUGAUUGGAUAGAAGUAGAAAACCCUUUAGGUAAGGGGAGAGAAAUUUCUUGACAUCACCCAUACAACGGUGUUUGGAUAAUGGACAAAGAAAAUUUAGCAUUGUCCUUCAAAUGCUCUUAUUGGAAAUCGGAGUACCACAGACAUGCUUCGAGAUAGCAUUGACAUGGUCUUCAAGCAAAGAUGAGACUUUGGAUACAGGAAGGAUCCAUCAGGAAAAACUUGUAGAAUAAGUCUUACAAUUUUCUCAUGGAAGAAUGGAUAACCUUGCUGAAAGGAAGAACUAUAACAAUAGGUCCUCCGGUCAAGUGUGCUAGGCAUGACAUCACCUUACCGGGUCAUAUAAAGACCAAUGUUAUAACUCUUGAAAAUAUGCUCCAACCAUCAUAGCCGACCGAGAUUCAGAUCUGAUCGGUGUUAGGAAACCUUAGACUCAGGAUGCCUAAGAAGAAAAGGUGCAACACAAUUGACGAGAUGACAUUGUAAAAUUCUUAGGAAAUGAACUAUGGGAGCGAGUUUCGAAACAAAAAUUCAUCAUUAAACAAGGGAAAUGAUGAGGGGGUGGCUGAUGGACUCAGCGACAAUUCCUCGAGUUUUACUAAAGAUAGAUUUCCACAAUUAUGCGAACAAGGAGAUAACACUUGCCAGAUCAAAUGAUGUAAUGAUGUAUGCUCGAGGAAAACAUACACAAUUAAACAUUGGUUGAAAGGUGUACCCAAAAUAUUGGCUUAGGUAGCAUGAUCAAUGUUAGAAUGGUGAUUCAAUAACCAAUAGUCUAAGAAUGAACUAUCGACCAUUAACUUCAAAGCAAUAGGGCUGCUAGAAGUACAGAACCCAAACAUCAUCGUCCACUUGUUGAUAUUCCCGGUUAGUCAAUACGGGGACCAAGAAAUAAUGGUGCUUGUGAGAAGUAUCACUAUACCAAGAAUUAUUAAGAGGUGGAGCAAUCCUUGCAACAUCCUUGACAUAAGGACAGUAAUACUUCAAGGUAGAACAUAACACAAACUGGAUAGCAAGUUGCAUCCAUAACAUGAACAAGUUUGUGUUGGGGGAAGGAAAGGAUGUUGUCGAUGAUAACCCACAUUAUCGAGGGGCAAGGAUGGUAUUUCCCAUCAUGAAUUCGAUCGAUAUCCUGGAAGAUCUCAGAAUACUGAUGAUGAUCACGACACAUUUGUCACGAGAUUUCAUGAAGAUGUAAUCGAUCGGUGAUGACAUCAAGUCAAAGGAAUGAUGAAGCGAAAGGUUAUUGGAACCACGGUUACGACACGAACUCAAAAUUAAGCUUGUUGUUCAAGGCGAAAUGAUACGACGAGGAAGAAUGGCGUAAGGUUAUCUCAUCGUCGAAAAUUAUGCUCUGGGAAGAAGGACCAGGUAGCACAGUUAAAAUUUAGCACAAUGAUAUAGCCGAUCAGGCUAGGAAUGACUUGAAGGAUUAUUAAACUCGUAAGCAAUGAAAAUUACAUAGAGUUAUUGAAUCGGAGUGCGGAAUCGAUUCACUUAUCGGUGUUCUCGAGUGAAAUAACUCAGAACCCGGGGGAAAUCUGAAAUCGGUGAGAAGCAAUAAUAGAUGAAGACUCGUAGGAAGCAACACAGUUCGUUGAUAUUCUUGAGAUACUGGAGGGUAUUACUCGAAGGAAGAUUGACAUAGGGGUUGCGGAGAUGUAUUGAUCCGCAGAAGACAAGUGUUUUCACUUGCUUGAGAAAUGGGAUCAAGUAGAAAAUAUGGUCGGAACCACGAUCAUAAAUGAUCGAACCACGGAUACAAGAUGAACUUAUAACAAGGGGGUAAUUAUUUUUACAAGCAACUUCCAUGAUAAGUUAUACAUCGUGUCCAUGGGCAUGAACGCAAGGUUCAAGGUCGACUCCCACUUCUUCAAUGUAUAAGCUUCCAUUCACUUCUCGCUUUGAUAAAGGUAUUAGUGUUGAAAGUUUUACCUGGUGAAAUACCAGAUGAGUAUGACUCGUGAAAACUUCUGAGUUCACACAUAUUAAGGAAGGCAUAGGUUCAACCCGUCUGGGUAUCGUGGAAACAUAUACCACAAGCUUCAAUAGUAAAUACCACCAACUCGAAAACAGAGCAUGGUUGAGAAAACAAAGGAUACAAUUUACCAAAGGCAUGGUGUAUCAGGGGAAGAACUCAAGGUUUUGAGAAUAUGCAGGAAUGGUCGGAUAAUAAUCCACCAAAGGAUCCGGCGGACCGCAAAGAAACUGAUUUGAGUAUAUAUGUUCAGCCAGAAGAAGAAAUAAUGCCAAGGCAUCGGAUUAUAGAAAAAUCUGGAUAAUUCGAGACCUUAAAUGCAACGAAUUAUGAUUUCCAAAUUGGGGGAUCAAAAGCAGAUGCUCUGAUCAAAAGACAAGUAAGUUGAAUAGACUUAGAGGCACAAACGGUGGCAAUUUGAUUGGUCGACAACCAGCUCAUGUUCAAAAUGACGUCCGAGCCGGAAGGAUAAUUUUCAGGGAAUAACUGAUGAUUGUGUGCAUUCACACACAUGUUGAUCCAGCAUGAUCAGAAUGUCGAUCACAAAGCAUUUUAAUGAAUAUUGCUAGACAUAUGGAAGUAACCAUUAUGCAAGCAGGUAAAGAAGAUCAAGAGCAAUAGGCUACUGAGGAUUUCAGAAGAUCGAAUGGCAUUUCGAAGAAUUUUGCGAAACACCUGACAACUAGGGAUGAACAAAUCCCCGGUAAGUGUGAGGAAUUAUUCAUACAAGUAUUCAUGAGGAAAAGAAGCUGCAAGGCAGCAGACCCAAAGGAUUCUCGGAAUAUCCGAAGUAUUUUAGGGUAUCUUGUAAUAACAAGAACAUUUGGAAAUGAAGUUAUGGACAACAAGUGUAUGUAGCUUUCCAUAGGGAUUUAUCGGUGGCAUGGAUUUGCAACGGCGAAGGGCACCAGGGUCUCGGGGAAACAUCGGAGAGUAUCUUCAAAAUUUUCUGGUGCAGCAGGCGGUCAUCUGGACUGAAGGGGCUCUCGGGGAGAAGUAUUCUCGAGAACCUAAAGUUAGAUUUUAGAAAAAUCAUUUAACCUGUAUAGAAGAGAGAUCAGAGUCCCAGAGUAUAGACGAGAAAUAAAAGAUCCUAAUACCACCCAAUGGCGACGUGGGCCCAUAAGACACACAACCAUGUUAGUAAAAGUUUUGCAAUGUCUAGACUCGACUUUGGCCAAGGAGUGUGGAAGGGGGAUUCCUAUAGGCAGUCGGCUCUGAUACCAACUUGUGACGUCCCCGAUUCAAUCAUACACUAACAUGCACGCAAAUGUGUACGAUCAAGACCAGGGACUCACGGGAAGAUAUCUCAACACAACUCUACAACAUAAAUAAGUCAUACAAGUAUCAUAAUACAAGCCAGGGGCCUCGAGGGCUCGAAUACAAGUGCUCGAUCAUAGACAAGUCAGCGGAAGCAACAAUAUCUGAGUACAGACAUAAGUUAAACAAAUUUGCCUUAAGAAGGCUAGCACAAACUGGGAUACGGAUCGAAAGAGGCGCAGGCCUCCUGCCUGGGAUCCUCCUAAACUACUCCUGGUCGUCGUCAGCGGCCUGCACGUAGCAGUAGGCACCUCCAGUGUAGUAAGAGUCGUCGUCGACGAUGGCGUCUGGCUCCUGGGCUCCAGCAUCUGGUUGCGUCAACCAGGUAGAAGGGAAAGGGGGAAAAGAGGGAGAAAAACAACCAUGAGUACUCAUCCAAAGUACUCGCAAGCAAGGAGCUACACUACAUAUGCAUGGGUAUAAGUGUAAAGGGCCAUAUCGGUGGACUGAACUAUAGAAUGCCAGAAUAAGAGGGGGAUAGCUAAUCCUGUUGAAGACUACGCUUCAAGCCACCUCCAUCUUUCAGCAUGUAGAAGAGAGUAGAUGGUAAGUUCACCAAGUAGCAUCGCAUAGCAUAAUCCUACCCGGUGAUCCCCUCCUCGUCGCCUUGUUAGAGAGCGAUCACUGGGUUAUAUCUGGCACUUGGAAGGGUGUGUUUUAUUAAGUAUCCAGUUCUAGUUGUCAUAAGGUCAAGGUACAACUCCGGGUCGUCCUUUUACCGAGGGACACGACUAUUCGAAUAGAUAAACUUCCCUGCAGGGGUGCACCACAUAACCCAACACGCUCGAUCCCCUUUUGCCGGACACACUUUCCUGGGUCAUACCCGGCCUCGGAAGAUCAACACGUCGCAUCCCUACCUAGGCACAACAGAGAGGUCAGCACGUCGGUCUAAAUCCUAUGGCAUAGGGGUCUGGGCCCAUCGCCCAUUGCACACCUGCACGUUGCGUACGCGGCCGAAAGCAGAACUAGCCCCCUUAAUACAAGAGCAGGAUUACGUUCCAAUCCAGCGCGCGCCGCUCAGUCGCUGACGUCACGAAGGCUUCGGCUGAUACCACGACGUCGAGUGCCCAUAACUUUCCCACGUAGUUGGUUAGUGCGUAUAGACCAAAUGGCCAGACUCAGAUCAAAUACCAAGAACUCGUUAAGCGUGUUAUUAUUAAGUAUCCGCGGACGCCGACCAGGGCCAGGCCCACCUCUCUCCUAGGUGGUCUCGACCCGCCCUGUCGCUCCGCCGCAAAGUAACAGUCGGGGGCCGUCAGGAACCCAGGCCCACCUCUACCGGGAUGGAGCCACCUGUCCUUUCAGCCCCCUCAUCAGAAUCACUUGCGGGUACUCAACGAGCUGACCCGACUUUAGUCACCACAUGUGUCAUGUAUAUAAAGUAUAUAGUAUAUACCCGUGAUCACCUCCCGAAGUGAUCACGGCCCAGUAGUAUAGCAUGGCAUACGGACAAGAGUGUAGGGCCACUGAUGGAACACUAGCAUCCUAUACUAAGCAAUAGGAUAGCAGGUAAGGGUAACAACUGUAGCAACAAUGACAGGCUAUGCAGCAGAAUAGGAUUAACCGAAAGCAGUAACAUGCUACACUACUCUAAUGCAAGCUGUAUAGAGAAGAAUAGGCGAUAUAUGGUGAUCAAGGGGGGGGGGCUUGCCUGGUUGCUCUGGCAAGGAGGGGUCGUCGUCGACGUAGUCGAUCACAGUGGCAGCAUCGGUCUCGGGGUCUACCGGAGAGAAGAGGGGGAAGAAACAGUAAAUAUAAAGCAAACAUGGCAUCACAAAGCAUAACGUGGCAAUAUGCUGUGCCGGGUGUGACCUAACGCAUGGCUACACGAUAUAGGUGAAGGGGGAAUUCAACCGGGAAUAUAUUCCCGGUUCCGAACCUGUGUCAGAUAGAGGACCGGAGGGGGAAUGUUUUAUGUUCAGAUACUUAGAGUUAUCUGACAGGUAAACGGACCGUGUAUUCGGAUUCGUCUCGUCGUUCUGAGCAACUUUCAUGUAUAAAACGUUUUCAUCCAAGUUACAGAUUAUUUUAUAUGAAUUUUUGAAGUUUAAGCAAUAUCCUAGAUUUAUUAUUAAACUAAAAUAGGGUUAUUGCACCAGCAUGGCGUCAUCAUGACGUCAUCAGUCAGCUGAGUUGACCAUGGUCAACCCUGACGCGUGGGGCCGGUCAGUGCCCAGUCAGCAGUACAGUCAGCGUUGACAGGGUCAAAGUUGACCAGUCAACAGGGUCAAUGGGGCCCAUCUGUGAGUGUCACAUAUUUUAAAGGGGGGGGGUUUAAAUUAAGCUAACUAGGGGUGGGGCCCCACUGUCAUAGAGUCCUGUGACUAACUAAUUAGCUAAUUAAUUAAUUAGGCAAAAUUAAUUAAGUUUAUUAACUGAACCACUAAUUAAUUAAUUAUUUUAGUAGUUAUUUUAUUUUUAUUAACAUUUAUUUUUUCGUUUUUCUUAAGACAGGGGCGUGGGCCCCAUUCGUCAGUGGCUCAGGCCAGUUGAGGGCACGGGCUACCGGGCGAGGCAGACCCGGGCGUGGUCACGGCGAGGCCGGCCGGAGCGGUGCCCGCCAGUGGCAGUGGCGGGAGAGGGGCUCCGUCACGCGCGGGGACAGCGGGGAGCGGUGGCGGACGCCGGCGAAGGCAGCUGCGCGGGGAUGGGGAGCAGGGCCGGCCGCAGCCAGAGUCAGGCGCGGGCGGGGCGCGGUCUAGGAGCGUGGUGAGUGCGCGCCAGGGAAGGCGGCAGUGCGCGGGCGCACGCGUCGGGCAUGGUCGAGGCGCAGGCGGCGCGAGCAACGGUGAGCGCAACAGCAGAGGGAGGAGGAGACCGGUGGGGUUCCUCACCCGCGUUGCAGGGGAGGCUCGGGGAGGCCGGCGAUGAGCAGCCCGACGGCGACGACAUGCGUUGGGAGGUCGGGGUGGCCAUGGACGGAGCACGGACGGAGCUCGAGGAAGACGGGCGCGGUGUAGCAUGGAGAGGAAGGAGGCGAGGCGGUCCGGUGGCGUCGUGGUUCUGGCAAGGGGGCUCCUAGCGGCGGCGGCGUCGUCGAGGCCGAGCCCCAAUUCCAGAUCAGGGGCGGAGGGGACGAGGCGGCUGAUGGGUGUCGGGGCGAGGUGAGGCAGCUACUGCGACGGGGAUGGGCGCCCUAGGCGCGGGCGGGCGUCCAGAUCGAGCGGGGCAGGGGGUCGUGCGAGAGAGAUGGGAUCGUGGGGGUGGGGAAGUGGAUCAUGGGUCGAGCGUGGGGCUCUCCCCUGGCGGCGCUGUAGGGAGAGGGUGGGGUUCGGGGCAGUCUAGGGUUAGGUCGGGGGCUAGGGGAGUUAUACGGGGCGGCUGGGCCGGUUAGGUCGGGGGCUAGGCCGGUUGGCCCAGUGGGGGGGGGGCUUUUUUUUUGUUUUGAAACUUCUUUGUUUUCUUUAAUUUCAAAAGGUAAAAUAGUUUUAUAAAACACAAAGCUUGAACCUAAAUUAUUAUUAUAAUUUAGACUACUGCCACAAUUAGUUUGGUAGUUAAAUAAAUUAGCUUAGCAUUUUUAUAAAACAAAAAGGCAUUUAAGCAACGUUUUAACCAUUGUUUUAAUUAGUUUAGGGCAUUUAAACACUUCGCAAAAAUGUUGGUUCGCCACCAAUAUUGCCAAAAGGAUAUUUGCCACAUGAUGAGCAUUUUAGUUUUCAUGUUUGAGCAAUUUAGAAUUUUGACUUUAAUUUGAAAUUGAGAUUUGGACUGGAAUAGAAUCAAAGUGAGAUUAGCAACAGUAACAAUGAUGACAAGGCAACAUUUAAAGGGGAUUAUUGUAGCAUGAUUCUCGG